rnacentral:rRNA from 1 species
AUUGAACGCUGGCGGCAUGCCUUACACAUGCAAGUCGAACGGUAACAGGUCUUCGGAUGCUGACGAGUGGCGAACGGGUGAGUAAUGCAUCGGAACGUGCCCAGUAGUGGGGGAUAGCCCGGCGAAAGCCGGAUUAAUACCGCAUACGACCUGAGGGUGAAAGGGGGGGAGCGCAAGACCUCUCGCUAUUGGAGCGGCCGAUGUCAGAUUAGCUAGUUGGUGGGGGAAAGGCCUACCAAGGCAACGAUCUGUAGUUGGGUUGUGAGGAUGACCAGCCACACUGGGACUGAGACACGGCCCAGACUCCUACGGGAGGCAGCAGUGGGGAAUUUUGGACAAUGGGCGCAAGCCUGAUCCAGCAAUGCCGCGUGCAGGAAGAAGGCCUUCGGGUUGUAAACUGCUUUUGUCAGGGAAGAAAUCUUCUGGGUUAAUACCUCGGGAGGAUGACGGUACCUGAAGAAUAAGCACCGGCUAACUACGUGCCAGCAGCCGCCGUAAUAC